GGGCAGUUACCGAAGCGGCCAAACGGGACUGACUGUAAAUCAGUUGGCUUACGCCUACGGAGGUUCGAAUCCUCCACUGCCCA
rnacentral:tRNA from 1 species